rnacentral:lncRNA from 1 species
AAAUAAAAUGCCACAGUCCAUUAAAGCAGGCCAAUAUGGCCUAAAUCAGAAAAUAAAAUACCCGGGCCCAUACCAGCAAAAUAGACCCAAAUAAUAAAAACAAAAGCAACCCAUUUUCAGCCAAUUUAAACCCAAAAACUACAAGCCCAAAUGCCCAAUAUUAAUAAAAACCCUAGAGGCCCGAAUGGCCCAAAACUACACCAACUUUCAAACACAAAAAGAAACCUCAGCCGCAUGUUGUUGCUGCCACCUCCUGCGCACGCCCACCGCCGCUACUCGCCAAUCGCUGGCUUCGCGUGUCCACGCGUCUGACACCAUCUGCCGCUGCAUGCUCCUCCUCCACUACCAGCACCUCCAUGCCCUGCAAGAUCAAGACAAAAAAAACAGGAUAGAAUAAUAGAAAAAGGAUGUAAAAAGGGGUUAUAAAACCCAAAAUGAAGGACUGAACGGAGGGGGGGAACCUUUGAAUAUAUAAAAAUCGUAUCAAACGAACAUUGGAAAUAAAAAGAAAAAAACACAAAAGGUUGAUCUCUUAUUCUACUUUCUUUAUUUCCAUUUCGUUUUUCAUCUCUCUAAUAUUUCCUUUUUAUUUUAACACGAAUCUAUUAAAUAAGAGUAGCCAUAAAAUAAAAAGAAAAGGAAGAGAAGAACCUUACCGGAACCGCCUGUGGUUGCUUCGCGGGAGGUCUCUCCUCCAUCGUCGGGGCUAAAAGAGGGGUGAGGGCCCUUUCUUUCGGUUCUUUUCGACUCAAGAAGGCUAGGCCUUCAAACUCUUUUGGAACAAGGCCGAAUGGCCUAUUCUUGUGCAUUGCCGGCCACCGAGUAUGGUGGUGGUGCGGCGGUCAGACGAUGGCAGCGAGGAUGGGUCUCGAAACCCUAUCUGCAAGGGAGGAAAAAUAGAAAAGGGAGAGAGAGAGUAGGAAGACUCUCUGUCUUUUUUUUUGAAAGAAAAUGAAGUUAAAAAUGAAAAAAUUUGGGGCUUUAAUGGCCAUGCAAAACAUUGCCGUUUUGCACCCUCACACACACACCCCCACGCCCCAAAACGGCGCAGUCUAGGGGGAACCUGUGUGUUUUGAACCUAUGGGCUAUUCGCUCCCAUGGUCCCUUCAAUUUUGGGCUUGUUUACCUCGGGCCCCUUUUAUUAUUUUAUCUUUUCAUAGAUUUAACUGUUUAAUUUUCUUUUGUUUUUUUGAUUAAGCCCUCGGUUCUCUGGUGCUUCGAAAUUCGACAUACAUCUUCAGAGUUGGGGAAUAAUUGCAUGUUUAACCCCUGUUCUUUCACGUGUGCCUUAUUUUAGGCCCUGCGUCCCUUUUUAUUUUUUUUAGAUAGGACCCUUGAUUUUAAUCUUUUCUAAUUCGAUACUUAAUCUUUUUAUAUUUUAUUGAUUUUUCAUAUACAUAUACUUUUAUUUAUUCAUUUAUCUUAAACAGUUUCACAUGUUAUUUAUUUUAGAUUUUUAUUAAUUCUUUAAGCUGACUUAUGUAUUAUGCAUUUAAGAUUGCUUUACAAAUUCGUUUUACCUUAAACUUAGCCCUUUUUUAAGGAACUUGUCUCAUUUCUAUUUUAAUGCUUUCAUGUGUUGUUUGUUAACUUUCUAUACGUUGUUUACUUUAUAUGUUUUUAUAUAAAUUAUUUAUAUUAAACUAUUACAUAUUUUAUAUUCAUAUAUAACUUUUAAUUCAAGCUAUUCUGUAGGUUAUUCAUUUUAAAUUUUCUUUUAUUUUUUUGUAAUACCUAUUUUAAGCCAUUUAUUUAUAUAUAUAUAUGUAUAUAUGUAUAUAUAUAUUCUUUUUUCUUUUAUACAUCAUUCAUUUGAAAUUAUUUUUACCGUAACUACCUUAAGUCGUGUUAUUUAUCAUCCAUUUUAAAUCCUUUUUAUUUAUUUAAAUGAUUCUAUUAUUAUUUAUUUUAGGUUUGUUUGCAUACGUUUUUUUUUACACUUUUGCAUAUAUAUAUAUAUAUAUAUAUAUUUUUUUUGAAGGACAGAAAUUAUUCAUAUAUAUCAUCUUUUUAAUUUGCCUCGUGUAUUACGGAUUUUAAAAUUCUUUUCUACAUUAUUUAUUUUAAAUUCAUUUAUUAUCAUUCUAAAGUUUGUUUACAUUUUUAUUUGUUUUAAUUUACUUUAUAUCUUCCUUAUUUUUAAAGAUUGUUAUAUAUGAUUAAAUUCAUUGGUUAUUUGUCGAUGUUAUUAUUUAAAUGGUGUAUUGUCGUGAUGUUUAUUUUAAUUUGUUUACUUGAUAAAUCCAUGUAUAUUUGUUUCAUGCUCAUUGUUAUCUUUUUUCAUAUCAUCGCCUCACGAAUCAAGCAUCGGUGUAUUUAUCCAAUAAAUUGUUUUUUUUUAAAUCCAAACAAAUAAUCAACGUUGUUUAAAUAUCGGAUUCGCUAUUAUUCCAAAGCAAAAGUUUCUAAAUAAGGCAAUAUUUCGCGUUUGGAAACUCGAGAAAACGUGCCCUAACGUGCUGGGUUUCGAUUUCUCGUUUGACUAAAUAGCCAAAUAUCCUCUUAAAGCUUCAAAGUAUGGUUUCAUUAAACUAUAAGGUAAUCUUGGUUCGAUGGUUUAGAGUAUCGGGUCCUAACGUGCUGGAUGUGAUAUUCCUUAAGAACAAGAGAAUCUUAUAUUUCAAUUCACGUUAUCAGAGUUUCUUUUAAGGAUCGUAUUUUUAAAUUCUUUUCGAGUUUUUAUUUUUGACAUCAAGACAUUAAGUAAUCAACUAGGUACCAAUUUUGGGCGUAUCGAGGGUGCUAAUCCUUCCUCGUGCGUAACCGACUCCCGAACUCAUUUUUCUAAAUUUCGUAGACCAAACUCAUUGUUUUAAUAAAAUUAAAUUGUUUAUUAAAAACAGCUGCUUUUAAAGGUGACCCGAUCACACCUCAUCAAAAAAGAUUGGUGGCGACUCCCGUUUUCAUUCUUUUUUUCAAAAUCCAAGUCGACCCCGUUUUCAUCCAAAAAAAAAUGGUGUCAACAGCUUGGCGACUCCACUGGGGACUAAUAAGAGAGUCAAGCCACGUGUUGAUUAUUUCUUGUCCUUUUGUUGAAAGUGGAAAAUUCGAUUUAAAUUUACGAUCCUCUCAUUGCAUCUCUUUUGUUUUGAGUUAUAUUUUUUAUCGUGUUCUGUAUUUUAUUUUAUACCUCUGCACAUUGCAUUGCAUGACCGCUGGUCAUACCCUUUUAAGUGGGAGUGAGAAACUACGCCUUCGUGAGGUUUUCACCUCCGCAUGGGAUAGUGAAUCACUUCCGGGAUACAUCCGUACCUAUGUCUUCGUGAGAUUUUUAUCUCCGCAUGGCCAUAGGGAAAUGUAUUCCCCUGAACUGAACUCGGUCCAUAUGAGCCUAUAAUGGGUGAGGAUCGAGGAAUCUGCUGGUUCAGGUACCCUUACUUUAGAACCAAACCACACAUAGCGAGCCAUAAGAACCCACCGAGAUAGAGCUAUUCCAAACCCUAGUGCUUACCGAAUAGAUGCUUUAUUUAUUAUUGUUUACUUUAAAUCCUAGAUCUAAUUUGCUUUGUUUAUGAUUGCAUGGCAUUUUCAUUUCAAAAGAGGUGUCGAUUCACGUUCAGUAUAGAUAGAAAGCUUAUCAUGGAAAAGAGGUUUCUUGAUAAAGUAGAAGACAAUGCAGCUAUACGAUUAUGGGCUGAGACGAUGUGGAGAGAGAAAGGCGAUAGUCUUGCAGAAGGGUACGUAUCAGAGUUAUGGGACUUCACCCGUAUCAGCGUAAUCCAAAAUGAUCUUCGAGAAAUGAAGGAAAUAUGGGAUCAAUGGGACGACGGGACCAAGCAGAUGUUUUACUGUGACUACGGGGACUUGCCUUACCUACUUGGUAACAAAGUGGACAAGCAUUUAUUCCGAGCCCUAGCCCAGUUUUGGAAUCCUGCUUACAGUUGUUUCACUUUUGGAAAAGUGGACUUGGUUCCCACCAUGGAAAAAUAUACGACCCUGCUUCGGUGUCCAAAGAUUCAAAUUGACAAAGCCUAUUCUAGAGCUACUAGUGUCCCGACAUUAUUAAAAAAAUUGAUGAGCAUUACAGGGAUGAGCGAACAGUGGGUCGCUGCCCGGAUCCAACAGAAAGGAGACAGUAAAUGCGUUCCUUGGAAAAGCUUGCGAGAUUUAGUAUUAGCACACCCUGAUGUGAAGAAAAGAGUGGAUGUCUUCGCUCUAGGUAUCUAUGGAUUGGUAAUUUUCCCUAGAGCUUUAGGGCACGUAGAUGAGGCUGUCUCUGAUUUGUUCGAUCGGCUUAGUAGAGGAGUCACGCCCAUCCCGGCAAUCUUAGCAGAAACCUUCAGAUCUCUAAGCGCAUGUCGAAGAGCAGGGGAGGGAAGGUUCAUCGGAUGCGCGCAGCUACUAUUGGUGUGGUUCCAUAGUCACUUUUGGAAGGUGGAAAAUGUCUCCUAUCGAGUCUUCUCAAAAGACUAUUCUCCAUUGAAGGAACAAGUUGCUACACCAAGACGAGACGACAUCACGGAAGAAAAGUGGAUGACGAUGCUCCAAAAUCUUCAGGAGGAUGACGUUGAAUGGAAAGCUCCUUGGAUGGUACCCGACGAGAUCCUGUACCGAUGUGGGGAUUUCGACUGGGUCCCUUUACUCGGAAUUUGAGGAGCUGUCGGUUAUGCCCCUUUACUCGUAUUAAGACAAUAUAGAUCGAGACAGUUCAUACCAGCAACACAAGGGCUGGCUCAAUGUGAGUUUUCUUAUAAGGAUGAAAACUACAAGAGAAAAACUCGAGAAAUAUCUAACGCUUGGAAACAGGUUCACCGAAUGAAAAGAUUUACCGUAGGAGCGAUGGCAACUUCAGAAUAUUAUGGGUGGUGGAGUAAAAGAGUCAAUGACAACAUCCCUAAGCCGAGGGAAGAUUGUGUUCAGUCUAUAGAGGAGCAUCUACAAGUAGUUCCGUCAGAAUUAGAGAUCAUCAAACGAGACUUUGAGAAAAGAAAUUCUGAGUUGGGAAAGAGGAUAGAACAGUUAGAAGAAGAAAGAGUGCAUUUGGGAUUAGACAUCGAUAUCCACAAGCUAGAAGCCGAGAAAUUAAGGAAGGGAAAGAACAAAGCUGAAGAGGAUUUGGAUAGUCUAAAAACAGAUUACAAGAAGCUGCGAUUGUCGAUGAGAACUGUCGGUCUGGGUAAAAUGUCAGAGCAGUGGCGACAAGAGAUCAAUGAGGAAAAGAAUAGGGCCAAUCAGUGGGAAAAGAAAUUUCAAGAUGCUCGAGCUCGAGAAAACGCUUUGGGAAGGAGUUUGUUAGAGUGCCGAAAUGAGAAGGCAGGAUUAAAGGCCAAGGUGGCAGAGCUAGAAAAGUCACUUCACUCGUACCGUAGUCGCAACUCCAUGAUCGAAUUAAGAGCAAGCUUAAAUAAGAUCAAAGAACUGAAAGGAAAGGUAGAGGAGCUUGAGGACGCAUUACACAAUUCUGAGCUACGAAUGGAGCUUCUUGAGAGGAGUAAUGAUCAAUGGCAAGAGCAAUUCCAUCAUUCUCAAAGGCAGAUUAGAGAUAGAGAUUACGUUAUGGGCGAAGCUGUGACUCAAGUGCGGGAAGUGGCUGAUCAUCUGCAAACAUUAGCAGUUUAGGCCGAUGUAUUGAGUUUAAAAUAUGAGUCAGAAUCAAGCCGAGGUCGAAAUUUAGCUUGGCUUCUUAGGAAGGUUAAGGUUUUGGGUAUAAAGGCGAAGCCGUAUAUGUAAUUUAUUUUAUGUAAAGAAAUUUGCUUUCUAGUUGAGUUUUCUAAUGAAAUUGAAUUCGAAUCAAUGCCUCUUUUUUGCAUUCAUCUCAUACAUUUGCAUUACAUCUCAUAAAAUGACCCUAAUAAAAUUAAAUUAUGACAGUUACCCUGGAAACCAACCAAAAUCUAAUCAAAUAUCACUACGGUACUCGUCGCCAAACAAAAGCAAUGGAUCAAAGGUUGGAAAGAUUGGAACAGUUGCAACGAGAGAUGCAAGAUCAGAUGCAUGAACGACUGGAAAAAAUCCAGCAGGACAUGUUAGAAUCCCAGAACACUGUGAUGAACCAAUUAAAGCAGUUAUUGGCUGGAGGAAAUAACAAAGGAAAAGACCCCGUAGUUGAUGCUGGGGAAGAUCACGAUGACCCUGUUUAUCCUCCAGGUUUCACCCCAACUAACAUCCAAGCACAACCAGAGGUGUACCCACAGAGGGUACCGGUUACCAUUAGACCUCAAUAUCUGGCUGGUGCCUCGGUACCAUUGCAUUUUCAAAUGGGCUCGGGUUCUAAUCCCGGGGAUAAUCCUACUAAUCCUGUGGUCCCGGACCUCGAUGACGUGGCAGAAACAGAAAAAACAAGAACGAACCUGCCAAAACAACUAGAGGACCGAUGUAGAUGGUUAGAGGAAAAAUUUAGAGUCAUGGAGAACAUCGACUAUCAUCGCGGGGUUGACGCCAAGGAUCUGAGUUUGGUCCCUGAUUUAGUACUCCCACCUAAGUUCAAAAUGCCGGAAUUCGAAAAAUAUAAUGGAACUAGUUGUCCUGAAGCUCAUAUAACUAUGUUCUGUCGAAGAAUGACAGGAUACGUCAACAACGAUCAGCUGUUAAUCCACUGCUUCCAGGACAGUUUGAUCGGAUCUGCAGCCAAAUGGUACAACCAACUGAGUCGUGCUAAAGUUAGUUCAUGGAGAGACUUGGCGCAAGCUUUUAUGAAGCAGUACAGUCAUGUAACGGAUAUAACACCUGAUCGAAUUACGUUACAAAACAUGGAGAAAAAGCCUAGCGAGAAUUUCAGGCAGUACGCCCAACGAUGGAGAGAAGUGGCAACACAAGUCCAGCCACCCCUUUUGGAAAAAGAGGUCACCAUGUUGUUUAUCAACACUCUGAAAGCCCCGUUCAUCAACCACAUGUUGGGGAGUGCUACCAAGAGCUUCUCAGAUAUGGUAAUGUCCGGUGAAAUGAUUGAGAACGCGGUAAGGAGCGGUAAGAUUGACACGGGGGAAAACUUCAAAAGACCAGCCCCAAAGAAAAAAGAGGGUGAAGUAAACAACGUAAGCACAUAUAGCAAGAGCAAUUCAAAACCGAUUACUGUUGGCCCUCCAAAAAUGAUAACCACUAGUCACCAAGCCCCCUCAAGGCAGGAACCCAACACAAGGCCCAACACAAGGACUAACACAGAGAGACUUCAAUUCACACCCAUUCCAAUAACAUACGGAGAACUGUAUCAGAAGUUAUUUGAUGCACACAUAGUAUCUCCAUUUUAUCUCGAGCCCAUGCAACCUCCAUAUCCCAAAUGGUAUGACACGAAUGCCCAAUGUGAAUACCAUGCAAGGAUACCAGGACACUCAAUUGAGAACUGCACUGGGUUUAAAAAGGCGGUGGAAAGGUUCAUUAAGAUGGGGAUUGUGAAGUUUGACAACCCAUUAAGACCCAACGUAGCAGCGAAUCUGUUACCCAACCAUGCUGAUAAAGGGGUAAACGCAAUAAUCGAAGGUGAGAAAAAGAGAAUCAAAACCGACAUUGCAGAGAUAAAAACCCUAUUGAGUUGGGUCUGGAGACAAAUGAUAGAAGGAGGUCUCAUCAAACAAGAUUCAAAAGAAAGGCCCGAAGGAACGAAGACGUACUGCGAGUUUCAUGCUGAAGAAGACCAUGACAUUCAAAACUACACUGAAUUCAAGGCCAUGGUGCAAAAUCUGAUGAACAACAAAGAGCUAGAAUUUUAUGAAGAGAUCAAAGGACUUGAAAAUGGAGAAGUUUAUGCCUCGGAGGAGGGGCCUACGGGAAAGGCCUCAAAUCACCCAGUGGUGAUUAUUUCAAGGCCAACGAGUACAGGAUCUGGAAUACAACUGGCGCCAAGGGUCAUAAUCCAAAAACCUGUAGCCUUUCCUUACAAGGAUAGCAAAAAGGUUCCUUGGAAUUACGACUGCAAUGUGAUGAUCACGGGAGAGGAGAACCCGAUAAAUGCUUCAGAAGGGGGUAAUGGCGCAGGCUUCUAUACGCGUAGUGGAAAACGUUACGACCUGGGAAAUACAAAAAGGGAGCCUAUAAAAGGAAAAGCCUUGGCGGUUGAACAAGAUAAAACGAAGACGACCGGAAUUGAACCGCAUAUUAACACACCGGUGACUGAAAAUGAGGCUAGAGAAUUCCUAAAAUUCUUGAGGCAUAGCGAGUAUAGCGUGGUGGAACAAUUGCAUAAGCAACCCGCUCGCAUCUCAGUGCUCGAGUUACUUCUAAGUUCAGAGAUACAUCGUAAUGCGUUGGUAAAAGUGCUAAAUGAGAAUUAUGUCGCUAAAGAUAUCUCAGUGAACAAAUUGGAUCGCCUGGUUAACAAUAUAAAUGCCGAUAACUUCAUCUUCUUCAACGAUGAUGAGAUUCCGCCAGGUGGUAUGGGAUCUACCAAGGCCUUGCACAUCACUGCCCGUUGCAAGGGGUGUAUACUACCGGCGGUACUCGUGGACAAUGGAUCGGCCCUGAAUGUUUUACCCCUGUCCACAUUAAACAGGCUACCUGUGGAUAGUUCUCACAUGAAAUCAUGCCAAAAUAUAGUGAGAUCAUUUGAUGGCACUGAGAGAAAAGUGAUGGGGAGAAUCGAGAUACCUCUAUUGAUUGGUCCAAAUACAUACGAGGUGGACUUUUUGGUAAUGGAUAUUAAACCAUCUUACAAUUGCCUAUUGGGGAGGCCUUGGAUCCAUUCUGCAGGAGCUGUACCAUCGUCACUUCACCAAAAGUUAAAAUUGCUGAUAGAGGGUCGAUUGGUGACUAUAGGUGCAGAAGAAGACAUCAUUGCAUCAGUCACCGAUGAUAUGCCAUACAUAGAGGCUGAUAGUGAAGCGAUAGAAUGUUCAUUUCGAUCAUUUGAAUUCGUAAAUGCCACAUUUGUCAUCGAGAUGAGCAAAAUCCCAGAGCCUAAGAUAUCCAAAGCUACGUCAAUGAGCUUACAGCUAACGAUGGGGAAGGGAGCAUUGCCUGGAAGAGGAUUGGGAAAAUACCUCCAGGGAAGGGUCAGAGUACCGAUCCUAGUUAACAAACAGGACCGUUAUGGUUUGGGAUAUAAGCCUAAUGCGAGGGAAAGGAGGAAGGAGAUGGAGAAAAAGCAAGAAAGGAGAAGAGCACAUUUGGGCGGGAUAGAAGCCAAGUGGGGACCGAUAACCUUUCCUCUUAUAUCUAAGACUUUUGUUUCAGGGGGAAUUGUCCACCCUGAAGAGAAUGAUGAGGUUACAGAAGGAAGGAUUGAGAUGUUGGACAUCAAUGCCAUAUCCGCGGAAGAAAGGGUGGAAAGGAAUUUAUCGGGCAUUCGUCCUUACGAACCUGGAAGUGUUCUGAAUAACUGGACUGCAGAAGAGAUCCCUGUAACAUUUAGAACUAAUUCAGAGUAAUAUUCAGAACACUUGUUGCCCUAAGCCUGGGGGUGAUAAGAAUCUUUUGUAAAAGGCACAUGUCCAAAAUCUAAUUUCAGUGAAAACUUAUCAUUCAGUUUCAUCUUGAGCAAAUAUUCUUUCAUUCUUUUCAUUCCCUUUAUAAUCAUACUAUGCAUACAAGUAUUCUUAGAUUCUUUUAUUUGGGCCUCCAUUUGUUCCAAUAACAGGUCUUCAGAUAUCAACGAGAUGAGCGACUCUGUUACUAAUUCAGAGUCUCUAUUUGAGCAAGACAUGAGUAUAGAUGAUCCUCAAGAUUUUGAAGGCGACCAAGACAGCAUUUUAUCUCCGGAUUUGUUAAGAAUGAUGGAAGAAGAAGAAAAACAAAUUCUACCCUAUAAGGAAUCAGUAGAAGUUGUGAUCUUAGAAGAGGGCAGAGAGGUAAAAAUUGGCGCUUGCAUUGCCAAGGAAACAAGGCAAGACCUUGUUGAGUUGCUUCAAGAGUUUAAAGAUGUCUUCGCGUGGUCCUACCAAGAUAUGCCAGGGUUAAGUACUGAUAUCGUGGUACACCGAUUGCCUAUAAAGGAAGAAUGCAAACCAGUCCAACAAAAGCUCCGAAGGAUGAGGCCUGAUGUCUUGCUAAAAAUAAAGGAAGAAGUUAAGAAGCAAUUUGAUGCUGGUUUCUUACAGGUGGUCAAGUACUCAGAAUGGGUAGCCAAUAUAGUCCCUGUUCCUAAGAAAGAUGGGAAGGUGCGAAUGUGUGUGGACUACAGAGACUUGAACAAAGCCAGCCCAAAAGAUAAUUUCCCACUGCCUCAUAUCGAUACCUUGGUAGACAACACGGCCAGAUACUCACUGUUCUCUUUCAUGGAUGGUUUCUCCGGGUACAACCAAAUUAAGAUGCUUUCUGAAGACAGGGAGAAGACCACAUUCAUAACGAUGUGGGGGACGUUUUGUUAUAAAGUGAUGCCAUUUGGAUUGAAAAAUGCGGGAGCAACGUAUCAGAGAGCCAUGGUAGCAUUAUUCCAUGAUAUGAUGCAUAAAGAGAUAGAAGUUUAUGUUGAUGACAUGAUCGCAAAAUCCAAAACAGAAGGGGAACACGUGCAAGUUCUGAGAAAACUGUUUCUAAGGUUAAGGAGGUUCCAGCUAAAACUUAACCCAGCCAAGUGUACUUUCGGGGCUAGAUCAGGAAAAUUGCUAGGAUUCUUAGUCAGCGAAAAAGGAAUUGAAAUUGACCCAGACAAAGUUAAGGCCAUACAAGAAUUACCUCCGCCAAGUACUCAAAAAGAAGUUCAGGGUUUCCUAGGAAGACUAAAUUACAUCGCUCGAUUCAUUUCACAAUUAACUAAAAAAUGUGACCCCAUAUUCCUUCUUCUUAAGAAACACAAUCCAGGUGUAUGGGAUAAGGAGUGCCAGAAAACUUUCGAAAAAGUUAAACAUUACUUGUCCAACGCCCCAGUACUGAUGCCACCUUGCCCUGACAAGCCACUAAUACUAUACUUGGCAGUAUUUGAGAAUUCCAUGGGGGCGUGCUCGGCCAACAUGAUGAGUCAGGACGAAAAGAAAGAGCGAUCUAUUAUCUCAGUAAGAAGUUCACUGAAUGCGAAACGAGAUAUUCGCCAAUUGAAAAAUUAUGUUGCGCAUUGGUUUGGACUACUCGGAGAUUGAGACAAUACAUGUUGUACCAUAUGACUUGGUUAAUCUCAAAGUUAGACCCUCUGAAAUACAUGAUGGAGUCAACUGCUCUAAACGGAAGGAUGGCCCGAUGGCAAAUUCUACUAUCUAAAUUUGACAUAACCUAUGUGAAUCAAAAGGCUGUAAAAGGGAGCGCGAUAGCAGAUUUUCUAGCAAGUAGAGCCCUGGACGAUUAUGAGCCUUUGAACUUUGAUUUCCCAAAUGAGGAUCUGAUGUAUGUGGCAACUACUGAAGCAAGCACACAAGAAGGCAAUACUUGGAAAUUAAAUUUUGACGGAGCCUCAAAUGCCAUGGGCAACGGGAUUGGGGCAGUCUUGGUAUCUCCAAACGGUGAUCAUUAUCCUUUCACCAGUAAACUAGAUUUUGAUUGCACAAAUAACAUGGCGGAAUAUGAAGCAUGUAUCAUGGGAAUCCGCGCGGCUAUGGAACGCAAAAUCAAGGUACUUGAGGUAUAUGGGGAUUCGGCAUUGGUAAUUUAUCAGCUCAAAGGCGAAUGGGAAACAAGAGACCCUAAGUUGAUUAGUUACCGAAGGAUAGUCCUAGAAUUGAUUGAGGAGUUUGACGAAAUCACUUUUUGUUAUCUCCCACGAGACGAGAAUCAGAUGGCCGACGCUUUAGCUACAUUGGCUUCCAUGAUCAAAGUAAAUAGACCAGAGGAUGUGAAGCCUAUCCAAAUGAGCAUUUAUGAUGCUCCAGCCCACUGUUGUAACAUUGACGAAGAAGAAGAAAAGGACGACAACCCUUGGUAUUAGGAUAUAUUGCGAUACGUAAAAAAUCGUGAAUACCCAAACCAAGCAACUGAGAAUGACAAGAGAAUGUUGAGGAGGCUGGCCAGUGAUUACGUCUUAGAUGGAGAGAUCCUGUACAAAAGAGGAAAAGAUCAGGUGCUGUUAAGAUGUGUGGACGCUGUGGAGGCCAAACAGAUCUUGGAAGAAGUCCAUGAUGGUAUUUGUGGAACACACGCUAACGGUUUCACAAUGGCCAGACAAAUCAUGAGAUUUGGAUAUUAUUGGUCUACCAUGGAAGGAGACUGCAUCAAAUAUGCUAAGAAGUGCCAUAAAUGCCAGAUUUACGGAGACAAAAUCCAUAUGCCUCCAUCACCUCUUCACGUCAUGACUUCCCCAUGGCCUUUCUCCAUGUGGGGCAUGGACGUCAUUGGGCCGAUAUCGCCAAAGGCUUCAAACGGACAUCGUUUCAUUUUUGUAGUGAUUGACUACUUUACUAAGUGGGUAGAGGCUACUUCUUACACCAACGUCACAAAGGCAGCUGUCAGCAAGUUUUUAAAGAAGGAAAUCAUAUGUCGGUAUGGAAUGCCUGAAAGGAUUAUAUCUGACAACGCAUUAAAUUUGAAUAAUAGCACGAUAGCAGAGGUUUGUAGUCAAUUCAAUAUCAAGCACCACAACUCAUCGCCAUACCGUCCAAAGAUGAAUGGUGCGGUGGAGGCAGCCAAUAAAAAUAUCAAAAGGAUUGUGGGGAAAAUGACUGAGACCUAUAGAGAUUGGCACGAGAAGUUGCCAUUCGCCCUCUAUGCUUAUCGAACGUCCGUCAGGACUUCUACCGGGGCAACACCAUUCUCUUUGGUUUAUGGAAUGGAGGCAGCGCUACCAAUUGAGGUUGAAAUUCCCUCCCUCCGAGUUUUUUUAGAACUAAAGUUAGACGAAGCAGAAUGGGUCCAAUCCCGAUAUGAUCAGCUGAACUUGAUUGAAGAAAGGAGGUUAAGAGCUAUCCGUCAUGGUCAAAUGUACCAGAAACGAAUGAUGCGAGCUUACAAUAAGAAAGUUCGUCCUAGAAACUUCCAUGAAGGGGAUUUGGUACUGAAGAAGAUCCUUCCCAUACAAAAAGACUUCAGAGGAAAGUGGAUGCCAAACUGGGAGGGACCUUAUGUAGUAAAAAAGGCCUUUUCAGGAGGGGCAUUAAUUUUAACUGGGAUGGAUGGCAAAAGCUUGCCCAAUCCUGUGAAUUUGGAUUCAGUGAAGAGGUACUUUGCCUAAAAAAAAAAAAAAAGGAGAGGCCAAGGCGAAAACCCGCAAAGGGCACCUUGAGACCAAAGGGGUUUUGAAUUGAAAACCCAGGAAUGGGCAAUUCAAAUUUUUGAUCAAAGAUGAGGCAUAAAGUAGUUUUCGAUCAAAGAUGAGGCAUCAACAAAGCCUUCUAGGACUUCUAAACACAUAUCAAGUUCAAAAGGGUCCUUAAGAAGUUUGGGGCAGAGAAGCUCAUGCUACGAUAUCUGGGGCACCUAUUUCCAUUUUAUUUAUUUUUUGUAUUUUUGACAAAAUACAUCAUCUUGAUUAAUUUAUUCUCGUUUUGUAUUCUAGCAAAAUUUGCUAUCUUGAUUAAUUUGUUCAUUUAGAGCUUUGCUCUCAGCAAAUUUUCAUCUUAUCCGCUGUGAUAAUCUUUUUCAUCUUAUUCCUCUCGUAUCUCAGCAAAAUUUGCUAUCUUGAUUUGUUUGUUUAGAGCUUUGCUCUCAACAAAAUUUCAUUUUGUCUAUUUUGAUAAUCUUUUUCAAGCAUUUUUCAUUGAAAUAACGAUUAAUGGACUAACAAUACACAUGCAAAAGGAGUUCUGCAUAUUACUCUGAAAGUUUCUAAAUAAUACGAGGACUUGAAACAGGACUAUUGUUUAGAACUAACCAAACCUAAGGGUUGGAAACAUUUGAGAAAUGAUAGUCUAAAGAGCAUCUAUUUCUUUAGGUUUUCUGUCAAAGGUACUGGCUGAACAAGAAGGCAUCAGUGAUAGAACCUUGAUGAACAAUGAGGAAUGAUAACCUAAGUAUUAAAAAUGGAUCAUUCUCAUGACAUUCUACAAAUAUAAUACAUACACAUCUAGUUAGGAGCAUUUGAUUCAUUCUGAUCAUGUCAUCCUAAACACUAGGCAUAAAUAGGUCCAUGAAAUGGAUUUUGCAGGUCAUGUUCCCCAGAGAACAGAUCAAAGAAACAAAUCCUAUACCCCUGAAGUUACAGUGGGAUGGAUUGAGAUCGAAGAAAGCAGAUCUUGUCUUCAUGUAUUGGCGUGAAGUAGAUCAAAGAUAGUAGGUCUUGUCUUCCUAUAUUGGUAGGAAGUGGAUCGACGAUGCAGAUCUUGUCUUCCCAUAUUGGUGGCGAAGUAGAUCGCACGAUGCAGAUCUUGUCUUCCCAUAUUGGUGGCGAAGUAGAUCGCAGAAAGCAGAUAUUAUCUUCAUGUAUUGGCGUGAAGUAGAUCAAAGAUAGUAGGUCUUGUCUUCCUAUAUUGGUAGGAAGUGGAUCGACGAUGCAAAUCUUGUCUUCCCAUAUUGGUGGCGAAGUAGAUCGCAGAAAGCAGACCUUGUCUUCAUGUAUUGGCGUGAAGUAGAUCAAAGAUAGUAAGUCUUGUCUUCCUAUAUUGGUAGGAAGUGGAUCGACGAUGCAGAUCUUGUCUUCCCAUAUUGGUGGCGAAGUAGAUCGCAGAAAGCAGACCUUGUCUUCAUGUAUUGGCGUGAAGUAGAUCAAAGAUAGUAAGUCUUGUCUUCCUAUAUUGAUAGGAAGUGGAUCCAAGAUGCAGAUCUUGUCUUCCCAUACUGGUGGUGAAGUAGAUAAAAAAAAACAGAUCUUGUAUUCAUAUAUUGGUUUGAAGUAGAUCGAAGAUAGCAGAUCCUGCCUUCCUAUAUUGGUAGGAAGUGGAUUGAAAAACAGAUUCUAUCUCCCUGUAUUUGGCAGUGGAAUAGAUUGAAUAUUACAGAUCUUAUCUCCCUAAGCAAUAGUGGAGCAGAUCAUAUUCAGUCUUAUCUCCCUAAGCAGUAGUGGAGCAGACGAAGAAAACAACAAAUCUCAUCCCCAUGGAGUUGCAGCAGAAUAGAUUUAAGUCAUGUUUCUCCGGAGCGCAGUGAAGUGGAUUGAAGCAACGAGACACAGUAGAACAAAAUAAGGCUACUUGAAGAAGAUGAGCACCAAAAAGUCAAGCCUCGGCGAGACCAGGCAAAUUUGGUCUUUCUUGGUCUUUGCUCUGUUCUCGUUACACGAAAACGAGCAAAGAGGGGCAACUGUAGAAGCCCAAAUUUGCCGGGCCAAGUGCCAAAAAUAAAACAAAAUAAAUAAAAUGCCACAGUCCAUUAAAGCAGGCCAAUAUGGCCUAAAUCAGAAAAUAAAAUACCCGGGCCCAUACCAGCAAAAUAGACCCAAAUAAUAAAAACAAAAGCAACCCAUUUUCAGCCAAUUUAAACCCAAAAACUACAAGCCCAAAUGCCCAAUAUUAAUAAAAACCCUAGAGGCCCGAAUGGCCCAAAACUACACCAACUUUCAAACACAAAAAGAAACCUCAGCCGCAUGUUGUUGCUGCCACCUCCUGCGCACGCCCACCGCCGCUACUCGCCAAUCGCUGGCUUCGCGUGUCCACGCGUCUGACACCAUCUGCCGCUGCAUGCUCCUCCUCCACUACCAGCACCUCCAUGCCCUGCAAGAUCAAGACAAAAAAAAACAGGAUAGAAUAAUAGAAAAAGGAUGUAAAAAGGGGUUAUAAAACCCGAAAUGAAGGACUGAACGG